UACGGGGGGGGCAAGCGUUGUUCGGAAUUACUGGGCGUAAAGGGCUCGUAGGCGGCCAACUAAGUCGGAUGUGAAAUCCCCAGGCUUAACCUGGGAACUGCAUCCGAUACUGGAUGGCUUGAAUCCGGGAGAGGGAUGCGGAAUUCCAGGUGUAGCGGUGAAAUGCGUAGAUAUCUGGAGGAACACCGGUGGCGAAGGCGGCAUCCUGGACCGGCACUGACACGUGAGGCACGAAAGCGUGGGGAGCAA
rnacentral:rRNA from 1 species